UAGGGAAUCUUCCGCAAUGGACGAAAGUCUGACGGAGCAACGCCGCGUGAGUGAAGAAGGAUUUCGGUUCGUAAAACUCUGUUGUUAGGGAAGAAAAAAUGUAUAGUAACUAUAUACAAAAGAGACGGUACCUAACCAGAAAGCCACGGCUAACUACGUGCCAGCAGCCGCGGUAAUACGUAGGUGGCAAGCGUUGUCCGGAAUUAUUGGGCGUAAAGCGCGCGCAGGUGGUUUAGAAAGUCUGAUGUGAAAGCCCACGGCUCAACCGUGGAGGGUCAUUGGAAACUAAUAAACUUGAGUGCAGGAGAGAAAAGUGGAAUUCCCAGUGUAGCGGUGAAAUGCGUAGAUAUUGGGAGGAACACCAGUAGCGAAGGCGGCUUUCUGGACUGCAACUGACACUGAGGCACGAAAGCGUGGGUAGCAAACAGG
rnacentral:rRNA from 1 species